GAGUUUGAUCAUGGCUCAGGAUGAACGCUGGCGGCGUGCUUAACACAUGCAAGUCGAACGGGCGAAUUAUAUCGGAGGUCUUCGGGCCAAAGAGAUAAUAAGCUAGUGGCGGACGGGUGCGUAACGUGUGGGUAAUCUGCCUUUGUCAUAGGAAUAACUGCUUGAAAAAGUAGCUAAUACCAAAUAACAUAUCGUAUAGGCAUCUAUAAGAUAUCAAAGAGAAAUCGGACAAAGAUGAGCCCGCAUCUGAUUAGCUGGUUGGUAGGGUAAAAGCCUACCAAGGCGACGAUCAGUAGCCGGCCUGAGAGGGUGAACGGCCACAUUGGAACUGAGACACGGUCCAAACUCCUACGGGAGGCAGCAGUGGGGAAUAUUGCACAAUGGGGGGAACCCUGAUGCAGCAACGCCGCGUGAGUGAAGAAGGCUUUCGAGUCGUAAAACUCUGUUGUAAGGGAAGAUAAUGACGGUACCUAAAA
rnacentral:rRNA from 1 species